UCAAACAUCGUGUUCUUUAUUGUUGCUUUGAAUGAAUGAAUGCUGAUUGGCGCUGUUGAAGCGCACUAAAAGCGGCGAAUAACGAAGAAGAAUAACGGAGAAGAAAGAGAUCUGCAAUCUCUAUUUCAUCCAUUUUCGUUGCAUUCUCAAAGCCUCGAUUGUUAAUUAAUUUGCAUCCCUAUCUGCUCUCUCACCCUGGUGGUUUUCCUUUGACUUUGUUUUUGUGGUUCUGUUUCCUUAAUUGUUUUCUUGCUCCAGUUUUGUUUAUUCUUCUUGCCAAUGGACAACGUUUCCACAUUGUUUGCUCUCAGCCACUGAUUAAACCUUUAAAAAUGCAUCAAAAGAUGAACAGUCGAGAUGAUUUGGCCACGGAAAGGCACUCUUUCCCCCUCAGCUCCGACUUUUAUCGGUAAUAAUGGGAAGGAGCGUCCGUCGGAAGGAAUGCUGAGAGUUGAUUUUGGUUUAUAUUCCGACAUAAAUUUUAAAUAAACUUUAAAAACUUUCGAAAGACAAAUCAUAAAACGGAGGCUAACUAAAAUUUCAUCUGGCAAUGUGCCGCAGGAAGAAGGGAGAAGGGAGAAUCACUUCCCAGAAAAAUGUUAUGUAAUAUUUAUAUUGGUGGAGAAGGAAAUCUUGAUAUAUUACAAUGGACAAGCUCCCCUUGAUUUUUCUUUAAUUAAAGUCGCCUCGCAUCGGAAAUAAGUUGCUUUCCCGCUGAGCGGGGAGUUCAACAACGGCAGAAAUUUAAUAAAAAUGUCAGAAGUGGGACGAAGGGAAAAGACAUGGCCACCCGCGAUAAUUAUGAAAUUGAAGUAAUUUUUCCAGCUGUCACUGGGGGAAGUUUUCCAGCUAAGGGACUCUAGCGGAGAACUGACCAACCGACAGCUUUAAGGGUGAUGGAGAAGAGAAAAGGUGGAUCCGAGCGUGUGGAAGGCAAAUGGAAGGAGAAGGAAGGAUGUGGGCUUACACGUGCUGCCAAUGUCAUUCCGGCAACAUUUUGACAAUUUGUGGUAAACAAAUAGGAAAGUCAGGAGGAAGGAUGGAAGGGUGGGAUGUCCUUUUGCUGAAUUAUUCAUAAAUACGCAACGCAUUUGCCGUCUUGUUCUGAGCUCCGUGGAAAAUGUUCCCCAACAGUCUAUGACAGGCGAAAGAAAAUGCGAGCACAGACUUGUUUCGAAGGUGUGGCUGACACCGAAUAUCUGUGGGAAUCCGUUUGGAAGACAUCUCCACGAAUAUUCGCCGAGACUUCUGGCUAUGCAAAUCAGUUGA
rnacentral:sRNA from 1 species